rnacentral:rRNA from 1 species
GACGAACGCUGGCGGCGUGCUUAACACAUGCAAGUCGAACGGUGACGGAGAGCUUGCUCUCCUGAUCAGUGGCGAACGGGUGAGUAACACGUGGGCAACCUGCCCCAGACUUCGGGAUAACGCUUCGAAAGAGGUGCUAAUACCAAAUACGAACCUCCCUGGCAUCUGGGAGGUUGGAAAGUUUUUCGGUCUGGGAUGGGCCCGCGGCCUAUCAGCUUGUUGGUGAGGUAACGGCUCACCAAGGCGACGACGGGUAGCCGGCCUGAGAGGGCGACCGGCCACACUGGGACUGAGACACGGCCCAGACUCCUACGGGAGGCAGCAGUGGGGAAUAUUGCGCAAUGGGCGAAAGCCUGACGCAGCAACGCCGCGUGAGGGAUGACGGCC